UGCCAGCCGCCGCGGUAAUACGUAUGGACCGAGCGUUGUCCGGAAUCAUUGGGCGUAAAGGGUACGUAGGCGGCCUAGUAAGUUAGAAGUGAAAGAAUAUAGCUCAACUAUAUAAAGCUUUUAAAACUGUUAGGCUUGAGAGAUGAAAGGGAAAGUGGAAUUCCUAGUGUAGCGGUGAAAUGCGCAGAUAUUAGGAAGAAUACCGGUGGCGAAGGCGACUUUCUGGUCAUCAUCUGACGCUGAGGUACGAAAGCGUGGGUAGCAAACAGGAUUAGAUA
rnacentral:rRNA from 1 species